rnacentral:rRNA from 1 species
CCUACGGGUGGCAGCAGUGAGGAAUAUUGGUCAAUGGGCGCAAGCCUGACCCAGCAACGCCGCGUGAAGGAAGAAGGCUUUCGGGUUGUAAACUUCUUUUGACAGGGAAGAGCAGAAGACGGUACCUGUCGAAUAAGCAACGGCUAAUUACGUGGCAGCAGCCGCGGUAAUACGGAGGUGGCAAGCGUUGUCCGGAUUUACUGGGUGUAAAGGGCGUGUUGCUGGGCUGACAAGUCAGAUGUGAAAUCCGGGGGCUCAACCCCCGAACUGCAUUUGACACUGGUGGUCUUGAGUAUCGGAGAGGCAGGCGGAAUUCCUAGUGUAGCGGUGAAAUGCGUAGAUAUUAGGAAGAACACCAAUGGCGAAGGCAGCCUGCUAGACUACAACUGACGGUGAGGCGCGAAAGCGUGGGGAGCAAACAGGAUUAGAUACCCCUGUAGUC